ACUCAAAGGAAUUGACGGGGGCCCGCACAAGCAGCGGAGCGUGUGGUUUAAUUCGAUGCAACGCGAAGAACCUCACCUAGGCUUGACAUGCUUCAAGUAGAACCCUGAAAGGGGAACGACCCGUUGAGUCGGGAGGGAGCACAGGUGCUGCAUGGCUGUCGUCAGCUCGUGCCGUGAGGUGUUGGGUUAAGUCCCGCAACGAGCGCAACCCUCGCUGGUAGUUACGAUGUCUACCGGGACCGCCGGUUUCAAACCGGAGGAAGGUGGGGAUGACGUCAAGUCAGCACGGCCCUUACGCCUAGGGCUACACACACGCUACAAUGGCCGGUACAAUGGGACGCCAAGGGGUGACCCGGAGCCAAUCCUCUCAAAGCCGGUCUCAGUUGGGAUUGCAGGCUGCAACUCGCCUGCAUGAACGCGGAGUUGCUAGUAACCGCAGGUCAGCACACUGCGGUGAAUACGUUCCCGGGCCUUGCACACACCGCCCGU
rnacentral:rRNA from 1 species